rnacentral:rRNA from 1 species
AUUGAACGCUGGCGGCAGGCCUAACACAUGCAAGUCGAGCGAGCGGCGGACGGGUGCGUAAUGCCUGGGAAUUGCCCAGUAGAGGGGGAUAACAGUUGGAAACGACUGCUAAUACCUCAUAGGAUUGUCUUGCCCAGGUGGGAUUAGCGAGUUGGUGAGGUAAUGGCUCACCAAGGCGACGAUCCCUAGCUGGUCUGAGAGGAUGAUCGGCCACACUGGGACUGAGACACGGUCCAGACUCCUACGGGAGGUAGCAGUGGGGAAUAUUGCACAAUGGGGGAAACCCUGAUGGAGCAAUGCCGCGUGUGUGAAGAAGGCCUUCGGGUUGUAAAGCACUUUCAGCGGGGAGGCGUUACUCGCAGAAAAAGCACCGGCUAACUCCGUGCCAGCAGCCGCGGUAAUUC